rnacentral:lncRNA from 1 species
UUAGUUGUUCAAGUUUAUUCUUUGUAAAAAUUAAACGGUUGUUUAGCGCAAAAAAAAAUAACGAACAAGAAGAAUAAGGUUUAACCUAAUUGAUAACGACAUUACAUUAUCCCUUAUUACAUUAUCCCUUAUUACAUUAUCCCUUAGAGCUGUUUUGAAUGAGGUUUAACCUAAUUCAUAACGACAUUACAUUAUCCCUCAGAGCUGUUUUGAAUGAGGUUUGAAUGAGGUUUAACCUAAUUCAUAACGACAUUACAUUAUCCCUUAGAGCUGUUUUGAAUGAGGUUUGAAUGAGGUUUAACCUAAUUCAUAACGACAUUACAUUAUCCCUCAGAGCUGUUUUGUUGAAACACCAAUAGCAGCACAGUUGACAUUAGUCAUAUAGGAAUAAUAUACACUAUAUAAUAUGGCAUAUAUCCCCAAUACCCAUAGCAAUACAGAGCAUAUACAGCCAGGUACAAAAAGAUUAGCACCUUUGAUAAUGAUGAGCAACAAAGACUAUAAAAUAAUACAAAUAAUGAGCGAUAAAGUACAUGCUCAAUUAAAACACACACACACAUAUAUACACACACACACACACACACACACACACACACACACA